rnacentral:rRNA from 1 species
UACGUAGGGGGCAAGCGUUGUCCGGAAUCAUUGGGCGUAAAGCGCGUGUAGGCGGCCAGAAAAGUCUGCUGUGAAAACUCGAGGCUCAACUUCGAGCUGUCGGUGGAAACUUUCUGGCUAGAGUCCGGAAGAGGAGAAUGGAAUUCCUGGUGUAGCGGUGAAAUGCGCAGAUAUCAGGAAGAACACCCGUGGCGAAGGCGGUUCUCUGGGACGGUACUGACGCUGAGGCGCGAAAGUGCGGGGAUCAAACAGG